rnacentral:rRNA from 1 species
AUUGAACGCUGGCGGCAUGCUUUACACAUGCAAGUCGAACGGCAGCACGGGCUUCGGCCUGGUGGCGAGUGGCGAACGGGUGAGUAAUGCAUAGGAACGUACCGAGUAAUGGGGGAUGACGCGUCGAAAGAUGUGCUAAUACCGCAUACGCCCUGAGGGGGAAAGUGGGGGAUCGCAAGACCUCACGUUAUUCGAGCGGCCUAUGCCUGAUUAGCUAGUUGGUGGGGUAAAGGCCCACCAAGGCGACGAUCAGUAGCUGGUCUGAGAGGAUGAUCAGCCACACUGGGACUGAGACACGGCCCAGACUCCUACGGGAGGCAGCAGUGGGGAAUUUUGGACAAUGGGGGCAACCCUGAUCCAGCCAUGCCGCGUGAGUGAAGAAGGCCUUCGGGUUGUAAAGCUCUUUCGGAGGGGAAGAAACGGUUACGGCCAAUACCCGUGACUAAUGACGGUACCCUAAGAAGAAGCACCGGCUAACUACGUGCCAGCCGCCGCGGUAAUAC